rnacentral:pre_miRNA from 1 species
AUUCUACUCCCUCCGUUGCACAAUACUACAUGCCUUCUAUUUGUCAAAAUAUAUAUGUAUCUAGACAUGUCUUAGUAUAUAGGUACAUCCAUUUUUGGAAAAAUGGAAGUCAAGUAUUUUGGAAUGGAGGGAGUACACA